GAAUGUACAUAGUAAAUCUAUAUGUUCAUACGUAUCUAAACUAACAUUACUUCAAUUGGUACAGAAACUAUAAGGCAUUACCGAAUGUGUAUGCAAGGAUUCCAAGAAGACAUGACAUGGCAGUCAUCUUCUCAAUUGCCUCCAUUUUCUGUUAAAGCAAAAGAUCCUAGAGCUGAAUUUAGUUCAAUAGGACUGGCUUUUCUUCGUCGUUUUCAAAGUCCCACAAUUUUUCUUAAAAUUUCUUGUGAUGGAGACUUCUUGCUACCAAUUAUUGUAGGGGAAUUUGCCGUCGAAAGACUUAUAGAUUCCUCAACGGAGGAUGGGAGUGGGGUAAUUUCUUAUUUUAUUUUUAUUUUUUUAUGUGAAAUUAGUCGUUUCUUUAUUUUCAUGUUGAUGCUCAUGUAAGCAUAUGUAAAAUCCAACAGUUGUGCUCUCCAUUUAUUUGACAAAGCAAUGUUUCGUAAUCAUAAUACAGUCUGUCCCUUGUGAUGAGGAUUACAACAAUAAAAUUUAAUUGUCGGAUGAAAAAUGAUAAAAGUCCCGAUCGGUUUUUAUAACCGAGUGAUGUGGUAGUCGGUGAACUAAAACAAUUUUAAAGGAGAGACUGUCUUAUUGAUUAUUGUGUAA